AGAGUUUGAUCCUGGCUCAGAUUGAACGCUGGCGGCAUGCCUUACACAUGCAAGUCGAACGGUAACGCGGGGCAACCUGGCGACGAGUGGCGAACGGGUGAGUAAUGCAUCGGAACGUGCCCAGUAGUGGGGGAUAGCCCGGCGAAAGCCGGAUUAAUACCGCAUACGACCUACGGGUGAAAGCGGGGGACUCGCAAGAGCCUCGCGCUAUUGGAGCGGCCGAUGUCAGAUUAGCUAGUUGGUGGGGUAAAAGCCUACCAAGGCGACGAUCUGUAGCUGGUCUGAGAGGACGACCAGCCACACUGGGACUGAGACACGGCCCAGACUCCUACGGGAGGCAGCAGUGGGGAAUUUUGGACAAUGGGCGCAAGCCUGAUCCAGCCAUGCCGCGUGCGGGAAGAAGGCCUUCGGGUUGUAAACCGCUUUUGUCAGGGAAGAAACGCUCUGGGCUAAUACCCUGGGGUAAUGACGGUACCGAAGAAUAG
rnacentral:rRNA from 1 species